rnacentral:rRNA from 1 species
GGGAUAGAAUUCCAGGAGUAGCGGUGAAAUGCGUAGAUAUCUGGAGGAAUACCAAAGGCGAAGGCAGUCCCCUGGUCCGAUACUGACACUGAGGUACGAAAGCGUGGGGAGCAAACAGGAUUAGAUACCCUGGUAGUCCACGCCCUAAACGAUGUCGAUUAGCCAUUGGAAGGACCCCUUUUCCUUUCAGUGACGUAGCUAACGCGUUAAAUCGACCGCCUGGGAAGUACGACCGCAAGGUUAAAACUCAAAGGAAUUGACGGGGACCUGAACAAGCGGUGAAAUGAUGUGGAUUAAUUCGAUGCUACGCGAAGAACCUUACCUACCUUUGACAUGGCCAAAGUUCUACCGAGAGGCGGAAGUACUCGUAAGAGGAUUGGCGCACAGGUGCUGCAUGGUUGUCGUCAGUUCGUGUCGUGAGAUGUUGGGUUCAGUCCCGCAACGAACGCAACCCUUAUCUUUAAUUGCUCCUAUUUUAACAGGCACUUUAAAGAAACUGCCAAUGAUAAGUUGGAGGAAGGUGGGGAUCACGUCAAGUCCGCAUGGCCUUUAUAGGUAGGGCUUCACACGUCAUACAAUGGUUAGAACAAAGAGCUGCAAAUUCGUAAGAAGGAGCCAAUCUCACAAACCUAACCUCAGUUCGAAUUGCGGUCUGCAACUCGAGCGCAUGAAGCCGGAAUCGCUAGUAAUCGUGGAUCAGAAUGCCACGGUGAAUACGUUCUUAGGUCUU